rnacentral:rRNA from 1 species
CCUACGGGGGGCAGCAGUAGGGAAUAUUGCUCAAUGGGGGAAACCCUGAAGCAGCAAAGCCGCGUGGAGGAUGAAGGUUUUCGGAUUGUAAACUCCUUUUGUUAGAGAAGAUAAUGACGGUAUCUAACGAAUAAGCACCGGCUAACUCCGUUCCAGCAGCCGCGGUAAUACGGAGGGUGCAAGCGUUACUCGGAUUCACGGGGCGUAAAGCGCGCGUAGGCGGGAUAGCAAGUCAGAUGUGAAAUCCUAUGGCUUAACCAUAGAACUGCAUUUGAAACUGUUAUUCUAGAGUAUGGGAGAGGUAGGUGGAAUUCGUGGUGGAGGGGUAAAAUCCGUAGAGAUCAAGAGGAAUACGCAUUGCGAAGGCGACCUGCUAGAACAUAACUGACGCUGAUGCGCGAAAGCGUGGGGAGCAAACAGGAUUAGAUACCCCUGUAGUC